AAAUACACCCAGCGGAUCGAUUGACGUCAACUAGCGGUAAUACGUCACUGCUUGCAAGUUGCUUUACCCAAGAUGGCGUAGACCGAAAGAGAAGUUUCUGUAGCGUGUCCUUGCACAGCUGUUCUUUCGCGUAUGGCUGAUGUUCAUUGUGAUUUAUAUGAUUGAAACAACUCGAAUAGUGAUAAGGAUAUUGAUGCCUGUGUUGCUUUACACUGCUGUAAUGUUAGUAAAACUGAAGGAUUAUGUCACUUUAGAUUGAGGAAGUUAUUAAACUUGCAGUACUGUAGGAAGGCUUAGAGUCACAACAGAAAAAAUGUUUUAGCAGCUUUAUGGACAUUUUCAAACCAGGAGUCAUACUGAGGUGUAUUGGUGUAUCAGAACGUCACUUGUUUGAAAUAGUAGAGUCAUUCUGCAAUAUUUUAUGUGACAUGCAAAUAGUAUAUUAAGUGGUCAUCUAGAAAGGACACUGAAACUAUUGUUGCACUCUAACAUUUUGGAUGGAAAUAAUUCGUUUCCUGGAGUGUUUGGUUAUAUUGAUGGCUCACACAUCCAAAGCAGGAAAAGAUCCAGCUAAUUAUUAUAACAGGAAGCAGUUUGUGACUCCAAAUUAAGUUUCUGGAUGUGUUUUAACGUUAGCCAAGAUCAUCCAGUGAUGUACGGUGUGGAAAAACAGCCCAGUAUUUUAGCAGCUUGUCUCAUCAUCAGCUAUAAAUGUUUACUGGGAGACAGUGGCUACCCAUUAAAUUCAUUUUUAAAUGGUGCCAUACAAAGACUGUGGAAAUAUGACAAUGCAGCAAAAACAAUUGAAUUUGCGACUCGGUGCCACACAACUUGUGAAUUAACAAACACUUGGCUUAUUAAAAGAUAGAUUUAGACAUUUGAGGUACUUGAACAUGAAAAAGUUAGAACUGGUAUCUAGAAUCCUAUUGGCUUGUUGCAUAAUUCAACAAGAUAAUGUUAUUGUGUAGCCUAUCGUGGAUGGCUACCACACAUUGAAAAAACAGGUCCAGGUACUAACAAGGAAGCUAUUGCAAAGAGAGAUUUUCUGGCAACCAGUGCCGAAAAAAUAAUUGCUUUGUAAAUAUGACCUGUUAUAUAAACAACCUGUAUUGAUUUUUGAAAUGCUAUUUUCAUCAUUAUGUUUAUGUUUAUAUUUAAUUACUUUUUUUUUCUGCGUGCAUCUUGCAGUAAAAUUCAACUGUCAACACUACCUUGUGUGAAGAAUAGUUGUCACAGGAGUAAUGAUUAAAUACAGUGAUAUUUAACCCCUUAAGCAUAGUGAAUUCAUAAUAGGUAUAAAUAUUAUAGUACUGUAAUAAAAUAUAAUGUACAAGGAAUAAACCAGUCAGACAAGUGUCACAUUUUAACA